GCUGACCCAUGGAUAAUUGUUUAUUGAUCUACGUAUAAAACAUUUUAUAAUCAAAGAUUUUGUAAGAUUUACUAUUGUAAGCAAAACCAUUGAAGUUUUUAUUUUCCCCAAAAGUCAAAUAAUGUUGCUACUACUUUUUGUCUUCAAAGAAGAUGAUGAUGAAUAAUAUAUAGCACGUUCAUUGCAUAGGUCCUAUCCUUGCAAUCUAGACUGAUGCACACAGCCUGCAUACUUCACUGUUUUCACGCAAGGAAGAGCCAAGUUGGGAGUUCCAGGUCUCUCCCUCAUCACGUCCUUUUCUUUCUUGGAGGACUGUGUUUGCU
rnacentral:lncRNA from 1 species